UACGGGGGGGCAAGCGUUGUUCGGAAUUACUGGGCGUAAAGGGCGCGUAGGCGCCACCUCAGUCGGACGUGAAAUCCCCGGGCUCAACCCGGGAACUGCGUCCGAUACUGGGUGGCUAGAGUCCGGGAGAGGGAAGUGGAAUUCCAGGUGUAGCGGUGAAAUGCGUAGAUAUCGGGAGGAACACCAGUGGCGAAGGCGACUACCUGGCCUGUUCUUGACGCUGAGGCGCGAAAGCUAGGGGAGCAAACAGGG
rnacentral:rRNA from 1 species